GCUUGUCUCAAAGAUUAAGCCAUGCAUGUCUAAGUAUAAGCCUUUACACGGUGAGACUGCGAAUGGCUCAUUAAAUCAGAAACUGUUUAUUUGAUAGUGCCUACUACUUGGAUAACCGUAGUAAUUCUAGAGCUAAUACAUGCAAAAAGCCUGGACUUCUGGAACAGGCGUAUUUAUUAGAUACAAAACCAAUGCCCUUCGGGGCUCCUUGGUGAUUCAUGAUAACUAUACGAAUCGCACGGCCUUGCGCCGGCGAUGGUUCAUUCAAAUUUCUUCCCUAUCAACUUUCGAUGUUUGGGUAUUGGCCAAACAUGGUUGCAACGGGUAACGGAGGGUUAGGGCUCGACCCCGGAGAAGGAGCCUGAGAAACGGCUACUACAUCCAAGGAAGGCAGCAGG
rnacentral:rRNA from 1 species